rnacentral:rRNA from 1 species
UCAGCUUGUUGGUGGGGUAAUGGCCUACCAAGGCGGCGACGGGUAGCCGGCCUGAGAGGGUGGACGGCCACAUUGGGACUGAGACACGGCCCAGACUCCUACGGGAGGCAGCAGUGGGGAAUAUUGCACAAUGGGCGCAAGCCUGAUGCAGCGACGCCGCGUGGGGGAUGACGGCCUUCGGGUUGUAAACUCCUUUCAACCAUGACGAAGCUUUUGUGACGGUAGUGGUAGAAGAAGCACCGGCUAACUACGUGCCAGCAGCCGCGGUAAUACGUAGGGUGCGAGCGUUGUCCGGAAUUACUGGGCGUAAAGAGCUCGUAGGUGGUUUGUCGCGUCGUCUGUGAAAUUCCGGGGCUCAACUCCGGGCGUGCAGGCGAUACGGGCAUAACUUGAGUGCUGUAGGGGAGACUGGAAUUCCUGGUGUAGCGGUGAAAUGCGCAGAUAUCAGGAGGAACACCGAUGGCGAAGGCAGGUCUCUGGGCAGUAACUGACGCUGAGGAGCGAAAGCAUGGGUAGCGAACAGGAUUAGAUACCCUGGUAGUCCAUGCCGUAAACGGUGGGCGCUAGGUGUGGGGGUCUUCCACGACUUCUGUGCCGUAGCUAACGCAUAAGCGCCCCGC